GGCAAAUUAGGUACACUUGUGUGUCCAACGUAUGGCUCUGUUAAUAGGUUUAGUACAAGUAUGCAGUUAAUGGUCCAAGCAUGAAUACGUGUUGCCAGCUUUGUGGAGGAAUAUAGUUGGAGACAUACGUUUAAGAGUGACUCGGACAAAUGAAUUUGUGUUCUCUCGGAUCUACCAACACUGUAGCAUGCCUUUCCAUAUUUUCUACUACAAUAUCCAAAGAAACACGAUCGUAAGAGUUCAGAUCCAAGGAAUGAAUGCGCCUCGUCGUAGUAUAAUUUACACCCUUCUAGACCAUGCAGAGGACGUGAAACUUAUGCAAAUGUUGUAGUUAGUGCUUAAGACUUUUGUAAGAGAGCUACUCUGGCUCUCUAUCAUCGGUUUUCACCACAUGGUUCUGGAAUUUUAUUACCUUCUUUCUCUAAUUGGACUACUAUUUCUAAUUGGCUACUCUUUUUACAAUGAGACUACAGUGUGUAGUUUAAUUAAGCACUCGGGAACUUUCAUGGAGAAUAGUCUAGUCUAGCAUAAUACAGUAUAAAAAUAUAGAGAAAAAAAUAUAUUAGAUUAAACAAAAUUCUACUCUUUUUCCCUUUUUUUGUUUUUUUGUUUUUUUUUGUUUUUGAAACUUCCCUUUUUUGUUAAAUGGAAUUACUUUUCAUUUCUUGUAAAGCUAUUUUAUCAUGUAAAGGCUGUAAUUAUGCGAAAAUAUUGGUACAAGAUUGUAAACUAAUAAGGUCAAUAGGUCGGUCAUACCUCGUAACAAUCUAUCUAUAUAUAUAAUAGCAAACCUAUUUUUCUUUAACCGCUGAUGUCAUUUUUUUUUAUAAGAAAAAAAAAUUUCAAUCCAACAGUGAUGUUUGUUGUGGAUAUGUAAUCUAAUGGAUAAAUUUUUUUUUAAGAUAAAAACUAUGACGUUAUUGAUUUAAUCAUCGUUUUCAAUUCACUAAAGUCACAGCUCUUCAAAGACGCCGCUUAGACAAGCUCUAGAACCGUCAUCAACUCCAAGAGUCGUCUCUUUUCACAAACCUAUUAAUAGAAUAAACUAUACAGAUUUGCAUUUUUUUUUGUAGUUAACUCAUCUGGUUCUCUCACUAACUUUUUAUCUUUCUCUGUUUUCUUAACGUCCAAUUCCUGUCAAAUAUUUUUUGGUUCAAUUCACAGACGCGUUGAAUCAUUCUUCCAUACAUCUUCCCUAAUCCAUCUUUCCACCCAUAAUCUCAGCCGUAAUUGUUUGUAACCCAUUUGUUUAUUUUAAUAUAUCCCUAAUUUGAAGAGGUUUCUUUCCGUAUUCUCAUCGUACGUCUGAUUAAUUUAUGCCUCUUUACUUUUGUUAAUCUUCCUCCUUUUUAAGUAUACUUAUUUUUUCUGCAAUAUUUCUUUUCACGGCAUGUGGCUAUUUGAAUUCAUUCUCUGUGAUCAGAUCUCUUUUUGAAUGGUUAGUAAUUUCAGGGAGGAGAUGGAGUGAUUUGCGUCUUAUUUUAUAGCCGACGAACGAUCCGCUUUAAUUUCAGGGAGGAGAUGGAGUGAUUUGCGUCUUAUUUUAUAGCCAACGAACGAUCCGCUUAUUCAGUGAAGCUUAACCUCACGUAGGAUGUGAAGAUGGGCAGGCGGAGUAGAUAUUCUGGCCGAGAGGAAGAAGAAGGUUUUCUUUAACGCACACACUAUUUUUUUCCGGUAUCUGGGCCAUAAUUUCCUUUGAUAAUCAUAAUAGCAAUUGUAUAUUUUCAUUUUUUUUUUUUUUAAGAAAAAGGUUAAACCCGGGUC